UUCUUCUCAACACGUAAUUCAGUAGGUUUUAAAAUGUUGGAAUUUUCAUAGCUGUUUAACUAAUUGAACACUUUCCGGAUUUUUUUUACAUGGAUUUCAGGGAGAUCUAUCAGCGUUUCUUCUUUGGGGGUGUUUGGAAUUUCAUGUUUUUCCUUCGAAUACAGACUUAAAACUGCGACGCUAUUGAAAUAAUAAUCUUCUCAAACAUCGACUUGAUUUUAUGUUAAAUAAAUAACUACAAUAUGUAAA